GACGAACGCUGGCGGCGUGCUUAACACAUGCAAGUCGAACGGAAAGGCCCUGCUUUUGUGGGGUGCUCGAGUGGCGAACGGGUGAGUAACACGUGAGUAACCUGCCCUUGACUUUGGGAUAACUUCAGGAAACUGGGGCUAAUACCGGAUAGGAGCUCCUGCUGCAUGGUGGGGGUUGGAAAGUUUCGGCGGUUGGGGAUGGACUCGCGGCUUAUCAGCUUGUUGGUGGGGUAGUGGCUUACCAAGGCUUUGACGGGUAGCCGGCCUGAGAGGGUGAACGGCGACAUUGGGACUGCGAUACGGCCCAGACUCCUACGGGAGGCAGCAGUGGGGAAUAUUGCACAAUGGGCGGAAGCCUGAUGCAGCAACGCCGCGUGCGGAAUGACGGCCUUCGGGUUGUAAACCGCUUUCGCCUGUGACGAAGCGUGAGUGACGGUAAUGGGUAAAGAAGCACCGGCUAACUACGUG
rnacentral:rRNA from 1 species